CGGGAUUUUAAAAUGUUCAACAAAUUUGUUGUCGGUUGCAUAUGUACCGCUUGGUUUUUAAAAAAAACGUUCUUAUAUAAAAAAGCAUCCGCUCAGAAAAGUGAGGGGGGGGGCUCUGCUGGACUGCAGUCAUUUCCACGCUCGUAAACGUUUUGAUUGCAAAUUUUUUUUAAUUUUUUUAUAUAUAUAAUUUCGUGAUGUUUUAAUUUUCACCGCAAUACAAAUGCACUUUUUUACGUUUUAUGGGUGUUUUAUGUUACGAAAAGAAACAAACAGGAAAGCGAGUUAGCUAAUUAAGCAAGCAAGAAGGCGGCAGGAAGGUGUGGCUAUACGCGGGUAUGACGUCAGAAGUAUGACGUCAUUAGGUGGGCCCUGUCGGGUCUAUUUUUACCGCUUUCCGGUCUCACCAACAUCACACCGUUUAGGGCUGAUGAUUUGACUUUGAUAUCACAUUGAGCUUGAACUAAUUAUCCCAGAGAAAAGAAUUUGCUUCCCUAUAAGCGAAAUCCCCCGGAUUGCAUUGCGGAAAAAGAAGAUUCAAGUAAGCGUCUCCGCAUGAUUGGACUUAUUUCAGAGAUUGGAAGCGAGACAUGAGAGGAAACCAAGGGGCCAUGAGAAAUUAGUCAACGUGAACUAAGACUAACCCCUGCCUGGAUCAUAUCCAAACGUAAAACCGCGACAGAUACCAAGAGCUGAUAUGCAAAACAAGUGAAAGGUUGUUAAGAAAUACCGACUUUGAUAAGAUCCACACCGAGCAAAACUGGCCACACAGCUAGAGAGCGAAGUUUUGCAGUAUCGCCAGCACAUAUUUGCUGAAUCGACUGAAGUGACUUAUAAGACUCGAUUACCCUAUAACUACAACUGGCUACACAAGGAGUAAAUACAAAAAGCCCAAA